UACGUAGGGUGCGAGCGUUAAUCGGAAUUACUGGGCGUAAAGCGUGCGCAGGCGGUUUUGCAAGCCGGAUGUGAAAUCCCCGGGCUUAACCUGGGAAUGGCAUUUGGGACUGCAAGGCUGGAGUGCGGCAGAGGAGACUGGAAUUCCUGGUGUAGCAGUGAAAUGCGUAGAUAUCGGGAGGAACACCAGUGGCGAAGGCGACUUCCUGGCCUGUUCUUGACGCUGAGGCGCGAAAGCUAGGGGAGCAAACGGG
rnacentral:rRNA from 1 species